CAUACCUUCUAAAUCAGAAUACAUGUGGGCGUCCACAUUUACACUUUACAGGUCCAGAGUCUUCGUGGGACUAUCCAGGAAAAGAUGACAAAAAUCUCUUCACAUGAUUGUCCAGGAAAAGCUUUUCUUGAGUCCCACUGUGAACACAAAGUUGUGCCCAUGAUCCUGCUGUGGUGUCUUCCCAGAAGAGUGGAGCUCAAGGGAGACUGGGAAUGGAAGAAGCAAGAAGUUCUGACAAUACCAAUUGUUUAGACUGGCUAGGCCCACUGGCCAGCAAGCUCUGGGAUCACCUCCUCUCUCUCUCUCCAGAGCUGACAUUACAGAUGUGUCCUGCUGUGCCUGUAUCCUGGCUGAGUGCUAAGGAUCUGGACUCAGGACCUCACGUGUUCCA
rnacentral:lncRNA from 1 species